rnacentral:rRNA from 1 species
AGAGCGAACGCUGGCGGCAGGCCUAAAACAUGCAAGUCGAACGAACCCUUCGGGGUUAGUGGCGGACGGGUGAGUAACACGUGGGAACGUGCCUUUUGGUUCGGAACAACUCAGGGAAACUUGAGCUAAUACCGAAUGUGCCCUUCGGGGGAAAGAUUUAUCGCCAUUAGAGCGGCCCGCGUCUGAUUAGCUAGUUGGUGAGGUAAAGGCUCACCAAGGCUACGAUCAGUAGCUGGUCUGAGAGGAUGAUCAGCCACACUGGGACUGAGACACGGCCCAGACUCCUACGGGAGGCAGCAGUUAGGAAUCUUGCGCAAUGGGCGAAAGCCUGACGCAGCCAUGCCGCGUGAAUGAUGAAGGUCUUAGGAUUGUAAAAUUCUUUCAGCGGGGACGAUAAUGACGGUACCCGCAGAAGAAGCUCCGGCUAACUUCGUGCCAGCAGCCGC